rnacentral:lncRNA from 1 species
AUCUACUAAAGUUGCCUUAAGGGGAAACAGAGGCCUGGGAUCAGGGCUUCUUAGUGGUAGGACAAAGAGAGAUGGCAAGACGUGAAAGCCAAAAGGUUUGCCUCGGGUAGAUUGUACAUGGCAGGGGCCAUGUGCCUCACCACGGAGGUCACCAACCACCAAGGGCCUGGGGCUGAGAGGCACUGGAAAAUUAUGGGCUGCUUUUGAUCAUGGUAAAGAUAUCCUGAAGGGAGUACGCUGGCAGUUCUGUGGGUGGAUGGGAGAGCUUCUGGCAGAAAGACAUAGUACAAACACAGCUUGAUUGUCCAAGUCUUAUGUGAACGGGCCUGCAUCCAGCCCAUGACCAGAGCCCCAAGCACGGAAGAGAAGCUACCCAGAGCUUGCUAUUAGUUACUAGACCUAGGAGGAGCAUGUCUAACCUCUCAAUCUUUAAUCUCGAUAUUUCAUAUGAGUGCAUCCCAAGGAUCAGGGAGUCACCCCCAAGGGUCCUGUGACUGAGAGGGUCUUCGGAGUCCAGACCAUGGCUCUUUUCACCAUUCUGCCUAAGAGUAGAUGUUAAACUUUAAAGCCAGACAGCAUUGAGAAAUUCUUUCAGGCAUGAGGAGCCAUGCAGGAAGGGUGAAUGAAGGUCAACAGGAGGUGGGGCUGGUCUGGGCUCGAACACAUCUAGGCUGAGAUGCCAGUGAGACUGGAGAGCCUGACUGGCAACCUGCACCUUGGUUAUCACUCUCUGUGAACUUCAGGGUGGGAGAGGUGCAGAGAGCUCUUGGACAGAAACCAAGAAACCAAGGAGAUUGGGGCAGCAGGGCUGGGUGUUCACUUCUGGGUGCCAAACUUGGAACCUUGUGCAGGGGAAAAUGUGUGGCUCUCCUUGAGAUGCCACAGAUGCACCUGAAUGCGAGUCAUGUUAUCCAGAAGUUGAGUUUUCAAACAACCCUGUUUGCCUUCCUCUGUUUUAUUGAAUUUGGGCCAGGGGUCGGCAGGGGCAAGGUUGUCGCUGUGAAGAGCACUAGGCCCUUUGUUUGCACUUAGGUCCUAGGUUAAGAGUGCAUGAGAGCAAACAGCGUCUCUUCCUUUGGUCUCCUCUUUUACGGCCCCCUUUCUAAAUCCAACCCAAAGGAGAGCCUUCAGUGUAAUAACUAAUCCUGGCAGCACUUUGUAAACUGCGGGUUUCAAAUGACUAGGCCUGCACAUUUCCACCAACUCCAGCAAUUAAAGAGUCUCUGGGGACCUAGGCAGUGCUGAUGCUAGUGGUGGGUACUGCUGUUG